rnacentral:rRNA from 1 species
UUGAUCUGGUCAGGACGAACGCUGGCGGCGUGCCUAAUACAUGCAAGUCGAACGGUCUUUCUAUGGAAGCUUGCUUCCACUGAGAAGAUGGUGGCGAACGGGUGAGUAACACGUGGGUAACCUGCCCAUAAGAGGGGGAUAACAUCCGGAAACGGGUGCUAAUACCGCAUAGUUUUCUUGAUUGCAUGAUUGAGAAAGGAAAGACGGCCUUUGUGCUGUCGCUUAUGGAUGGACCCGCGGCGUAUUAGUUAGUUGGUGAGGUAACGGCUCACCAAGACGAUGAUACGUAGCCGACCUGAGAGGGUGAUCGGCCACAUUGGAACUGAGACACGGUCCAGACUCCUACGGGAGGCAGCAGCUAAGAAUCUUCCGCAAUGGGCGAAAGCCUGACGGAGCGACGCCCGCGUGAACGAAGAAGGCCGUGAGGUUGUAAAGUUCUUUUCGGGAGGGGGAACAACCGUGGCAGGGAAUGGCCGCGGGAUGACGUGAAUCCCGGAAUAAGCCCCGGCUAACUACGUGCCAGCAGCUGC